CCUACGGGAGGCAGCAGUGGGGAAGAUUGCGCAAUGGGCGAAAGCCUGACGCAGCGACGCCGCGUGAGGGAUGAAGGUCUUCGGAUCGUAAACCUCUGUCAGCAGGGAAGAACGGUCACGGGGCUAAGCAGCAGUGAAUGGACGGUACCGGCAAAGGAAGCACCGGCUAACUCCGGGCCAGCAGCCGCGGUAAUACGGAGGGUGCGAGCGUUAAUCGGACUUACUGGGCGUAAAGCGCACGUAUGCGGUAUGGCUAGUCAAGGGUGACAUCCCCGCGCUCAACGUGGGAACUGCCUUUGAAACUGGCAAACUGUCGUGUGUGAGAGGCUAGUGGAAUUCCAGGUGU
rnacentral:rRNA from 1 species